rfam:Rattus norvegicus chromosome 7, whole genome shotgun sequence.
GGGGAUUUGGCUCAGUGGUAGAGCGCUUGCCUAGCAAGUGCAAGGCCCUGGGUUCAGUCCCCA